rnacentral:rRNA from 1 species
AGGAUUGACAGGCAAUAUCUCAUGUUAACGGUAAGUUUACUUACCGCUUACAUCGAGUGUUAAAUAUGCUAUCCUUUCAUGAUUAUGUGAUAGGUGGUGCAUGGCCGUUCUUAGUUCGUGGAGUGAUCUGUCUGCUUAAUUGCGUUUCACUAAGGGCCCAUAAAUUCAAGGUAUGUUAGCUCUCGUCGCUCUAUGGACCCCUUAACUCCAAUAUUCUUAUUGUGUUAAGCGCGUGUCUUUAUUUUAAGAGUUUUAAGACACUGCGCAUGCUGUUGGGCUCUGAAAGCAACGAACGUGACCGCAACGUCUUGUUGCCUUAAACUAGCGUAUAUUGCAAUUUAUUGAAUAUCGCUUACAGAGGCUAUUUAAAACUAGACGGACCGCUGUUUCUUUCUUAAACCAGAGGAAGGUUGCGGCAAUAACAGGU